rnacentral:rRNA from 1 species
AGUGAACGCUGGCGGUAGGCCUAACACAUGCAAGUCGAACGGCAGCACAGGAGAGCUUGCUCUCUGGGUGGCGAGUGGCGGACGGGUGAGGAAUACAUCGGAAUCUACUCUGUCGUGGGGGAUAACGUAGGGAAACUUACGCUAAUACCGCAUACGACCUACGGGUGAAAGCAGGGGACCUUCGGGCCUUGCGCGAUUGAAUGAGCCGAUGUCGGAUUAGCUAGUUGGCGGGGUAAAGGCCCACCAAGGCGACGAUCCGUAGCUGGUCUGAGAGGAUGAUCAGCCACACCGGAACUGAGACACGGUCCAGACUCCUACGGGAGGCAGCAGUGGGGAAUAUUGGACAAUGGGCGCAAGCCUGAUCCAGCCAUAACGCGUGGGUGAAGAAGGCCUUCGGGUUGUAAAGCCCUUUUGUUGGAAAGAAAUCCAGCUGGCUAAUACCCGGUUGGGAUGACGGUACCCAAAGAAUAAGCACCGGCUAACUUCGUGCCAGCCGCCGCCGUAA